ACGGAGGGGGCAAGCGUUAUUCGGAAUUAUUGGGCGUAAAGGGCGCGUAGGCGGCAUGGCAAGUCAGUGGUGAAAUCCCUCGGCUCAACCGAGGAACUGCCUCUGAAACUGCCUAGCUUGAGGCCGGGAGAGGGUAGUGGAAUUCCCAGUGUAGCGGUGAAAUGCGUAGAUAUUGGGAGGAACACCGGUGGCGAAGGCGGCUACCUGGACCGGUUCUGACGCUGAGGCGCGAAAGUGUGGGGAGCAAACAGG
rnacentral:rRNA from 1 species